rnacentral:rRNA from 1 species
CCUACGGGGGGCUGCAGUGGGGAAUAUUGGACAAUGGGGGCAACCCUGAUCCAGCCAUGCCGCGUGUGUGAAGAAGGCCCUCGGGUUGUAAAGCACUUUCAGUGAGGAAGAACGCCUGGUGGUUAAUACCCAUCAGGAAAGACAUCACUCACAGAAGAAGCACCGGCUAACUCCGUGCCAGCAGCCGCGGUAAUACGGAGGGUGCGAGCGUUAAUCGGAAUUACUGGGCGUAAAGCGCGCGUAGGUGGCUUGAUAAGCCGGUUGUGAAAGCCCCGGGCUCAACCUGGGAACGGCAUCCGGAACUGGCACGCUAGAGUGCAGGAGAGGAAGGUGGAAUUCCCGGUGUAGCGGUGAAAUGCGUAGAUAUCGGGAGGAAUACCAGUGGCGAAGGCGGCCUCCUGGACUGACACUGACACUGAGGUGCGAAAGCGUGGGUAGCAAACAGGAUUAGAUACCCCAGUAGUC